AACGAACGUUGGCGGCAUGGAUUAGGCAUGCAAGUCGAGCGAAUCUCACUGCUGUAGCAAUACAGUGGUGGGGGAAGCGGCGAAAGGGGCAGUAAUGUGUGGGUAACGUACCCUGGGGACGUGGAUAGCCAUUCUAACGAGUGGGUAAUACACGGCGAUUUGGCGAGGUGGCAUCACCUUGCCAGGAAAUGAAUUUCGCCUCGGGGAGCGGCUCACGUGGUAUUAGCUAGUUGGUGAGGUAACGGCUCACCAAGGCGAAGAUGCCUAGCGGGUGUGAGAGCACGACCCGCGCCACUGGCACUGAGACACUGGCCAGACACCUACGGGUGGCUG
rnacentral:rRNA from 1 species